GAUGAACGCUGGCGGCGUGCCUAAUACAUGCAAGUCGAGCGAACAGACGAGGAGCUUGCUCCUUUGACGUUAGCGGCGGACGGGUGAGUAACACGUGGGUAACCUACCUAUAAGACUGGGAUAACUUCGGGAAACCGGAGCUAAUACCGGAUAAUAUUUCGAACCGCAUGGUUCGAUAGUGAAAGAUGGCUUUGCUAUCACUUAUAGAUGGACCUGCGCCGUAUUAGCUAGUUGGUAAGGUAACGGCUUACCAAGGCAACGAUACGUAGGCGACCUGAGAGGGUGAUCGGCCACACUGGAACUGAGACACGGUCCAGACUCCUACGGGAGGCAGCAGUAGGGAAUCUUCCGCAAUGGGCGAAAGCCUGACGGAGCAACGCCGCGUGAGUGAUGAAGGUCUUCGGAUCGUAAAGCUCUGUUAUUAGGGAAGAACAAACGUGUACGUAACUGUGCACGUCUUGACGGUACCGGAUCAGAAAGCCACGGCUAACUACGUG
rnacentral:rRNA from 1 species